rnacentral:rRNA from 1 species
CCUACGGGAGGCAGCAGUGAGGAAUAUUGGUCAAUGGGCGUAAGCCUGAACCAGCCAAGUCGCGUGCGGGAUGAAGGUUCUAUGGAUCGUAAACCUCUUUUAUAAGGGAAUAAAGUGUGGGACGUGUCCUAUUUUGUAUGUACCUUAUGAUUAAGGAUCGGCUAACUACGUGCCAGCAGCCGCGGUAAUACGGAGGAUCCGAGCGUUAUCUGGAUUUAUUGGGUUUAAAGGGUGCGUAGGGGGCCUUUUAAGUUAGCGGUGAAAGUCUGUGGCUCAACCAUAGAAUUGCCGUUGAUACUGGGGAGCUUGAGUUUGUUAGAGGCAGGCGGAAUGCGUGGUGUAGCGGUGAAAUGCGUAGAUAUAAGGCAGAACACCGAUUGCGAAGGCAGCCUGCCAAGCCAUGACUGACGCUGAGGCACGAAAGCGUGGGGAUCAAACAGGAUUAGAUACCCUGGUAGUC